rnacentral:rRNA from 1 species
GGAUUAGCAGGUUGGUCGUGCCACUGGUAUGAACUGGCCUUGCUGAUUCCUCCCUCUUGAUGAGCCGUAAUGCCAUUAAUUUGGUGUUGCGAGGAAUCAGGACUGUUACUUUGAAAAAAUUAGAGUGUUUAAAGCAGGCUCACGCUUGAAUACAUUAGCAUGGAAUAACGGAAUAGGACG